AAAUGUAAUUGUAAUGCAAGCUGAAGAAGAUAGCCUUAUACAUGAAGGUGGUAUUUCUGCAUUGUGAUGCUAUCUAACUGCUUUGUUUGAUUUAAUUAAUUUUUGUAAAGGAUGUUUUCUUUUACAGCUUAGACCACUUUUUGAAGCUCAGCUGGGACUGCUUCCCAGUGAUGUGUUACAAAAUUGAUGCACCCCCUGUGUGGGGCCCACACAGAAUCCCACUCAGGGCUUUCUUGCCUGACCCCAAGGGCUACACUUAAAUUCUCAACAUCCCUGAAACCCAGAGUACAUGCCUUGCUUCUCUGAAUUCACAUUCACUUACCAGGACACUGAGCCAGCAAAUCAGAUGCACACAGCUCGCCUGUCUGUGCUGCCUUCAAGCUCUGCCUUCCUGCAACAUGUGCUCUUCUCUCCAAGGUCAGAGCAGGAUCUCAACUGCAGCCCAAUGAAACCAAUGGAUAAUUACUUGCAUUUGCUGAUGGGUUUUCACUAUGUCUGAGGGAAUACUUUGCAAAUGAAGCUUGUACCAUUCUGGACAAAGCUGGGACAAUGUAUGGUUCUGGGAUGCCAAAAGAAUGUUUUAUCCUUCAUUGGAAAUAGACACUGUAUUUAUAAAGGAGAACUAACAGGUUGAUAAGGAUUUUGCUUAGAAAGUGAUGAAGUAUUUGAGAGAGGUGUGCAUAUUUCAGCAGAUCUUGAUUUAAAGCAGAUCAAAAUCUUUGGCUGAGCAGCCCAGCACCUAACCACACACAAGCUGAGGAAGCUGCAUGCCGCAUGGGUACUGUGUGUGUUAGCAUUCCAGCUCCUGCUCCCAGACAAAAGCAGCCUUCAUUUAAACUGAGAGGUAUUGAGUAACAAGCCUCUGCAUAGCACAACAAACUGAACACAACUGUCUCAAGUGAGACUCUAUUAAAGCAUGGGAAAUUUGCCACCUCCCCAGGAUUUAUCAUUUUAAUUGGAACAAGACAGAUUCCAUCAAUGAUGACUGAACAGAGCAUCAAGAAGUAUUUUUUCUUUAGCAGCUGUUAUUAUGCAGGAGAGACAGAGAGCUGAAGUAGGGGCAGAAACCCUUUUCAGUGUAAACAGAUAGCCAUCUAAUCUGCAGAAGACGGGCAGGAGAAGAAGGGAAACAGGAUCUUUCAGAUAUAAUUAAUACUGAAAAAGCAAAAUAAUGUCUUUUCCAAAGACCUUAUAUGGCCACAUCAAGCUUUGGUUACCUUUUACAAAUCUUUCUGUUAGUACUUCAGUAACUUCCAAUUCUUGUUGGCAUAUUUGAACAAGAGUCUUCAAAGAUUCAUUCUUCGACCUUCCCAGGUGCUGCUCUUUUAGAGUUUCUUUUUAUAAGCAGUAAGUUAAGUAGGGAUCAAAGAGGACCACCAUCAAGAAGGAAAAAACAGUAUGCCUUGUUAUAUAUAUGGUAUUUUCAUGUUGCUAAAUUAAAGUAAUUCAAUAUUUCACCCUCAAGAUUGAUAUAAGAGACCACAACAAUUAAGUUUAAGGUUAUAAUUUUAAUCAUAGAUGAAGCUUAAUGGCCUUUUUUUUCCAAUGUCUCAUAGUCUUUGUGGAAAUUAUAUUAUUGAGCAGAGCAACACAGUACUUAAAGCAGGUUAACUUUUAAUGCAAACCUGUUUUCUGCUGUCCAAAAGAUCUCUAAUAACCCACUGCUUACUAAACUGAAAAUCACUAUUCCAUUCUCUGAAUACAUACUGAUUUCAGAGCAGACAAUAUAAGAUUAAGGACCUAGCCAUCAGAGUGCAAUAAACAAAACAAAACAUGUCUGGAACA
rnacentral:lncRNA from 1 species